rfam:Schistosoma haematobium scaffold675_22, whole genome shotgun sequence.
AUCCAACCGAUGAGUCUGAAAUAGGACAAAACGCACGUCCUGUAU